rnacentral:rRNA from 1 species
CUACGGGUCGCUCCAGCGGGGAAUAUUGCACAAUGGGCGCAAGCCUGAUGCAGCCAUGCCGCGUGUAUGAAGAAGGCCUUCGGGUUGUAAAGUACUUUCAGCGGGGAGGAAGGGAGUAAAGUUAAUACCUUUGCUCAUUGACGUUACCCGCAGAAGAAGCACCGGCUAACUCCGUGCCAGCAGCCGCGGUGAAUACGGAGGGUGCAAGCGUUAAUCGGAAUUACUGGGCGUAAAGCGCACGCAGGCGGUUUGUUAAGUCAGAUGUGAAAUCCCCGGGCUCAACCUGGGAACUGCAUCUGAUACUGGCAAGCUUGAGUGUGGUAGAGGGGGGUAGAAUUCCAGGUGUAGCGGUGAAAUGCGUAGAGAUCUGGAGGAAUACCGGUGGCGAAGGCGGCCCCCUGGACGAAGACUGACGCUCAGGUACGAAAGCGUGGGGAGCAAACAGGAUUAGAUACCCGUGUAGUC